CUUGGCCGCCGCCCCCCCUCCCAUCUCCUCCUCUCUCAAUCCUUGCAGCCACACCACCAAACCCUAGCCGCCCCCCCCCAAUCUCCUCCCCCGAAGGUGCCAAUCCUUGCCGCUCGGAUCAUCGUCACGUGGUGCGGAUCUUCAAUCGUUUUGGUGGAGGGAAGAAGGGAGGAAGGAAAGGGGGAGAAUCCAAGGUGAUUUUUGUGUUCAUCCCUUGUUCAUUUGCACUGCAAUUCAAUUGAUUAGAGGUUGCGUUUGUGAUUGGGUAGAGGGGGCUGUCCAGAAUUUUAGGUGGUGGAUGAACAGCAGUAGUUCUAGCAGUUUCUGGUUGUUUUUCGUGAGAAAUUAAUGGAAAUCAGUUUGGGGAUCAUGUAGAACUUUGUCUUACCUUUCCAACAAGUAUUUAUGCGCUCAAUUUGGAGUUAUAAAUUGAAAGUUAUCACCGUUUGAAUCCGGGUAUGUGGCUGUCCAAAAAACAGAUUUUCAGGGGGAUGAACAGCAGCAGUAUUAGCAGUUUCUGGGGAUUUUUCGGGAGUAAUUAGUGUUAAUAAGUAUAAGAAUCAUGAAGGGCUCUUUCUUAUCUUUCCAACAAGUACUUAUGCGCUCGAUUCGGAAUUAUAUUUUAAAAGUUAUCGCUGUUUGAAUCCGAGUAUGUCGCUGCCCAAAACAGGAAAACAGAUUGCAGGGUUUAUUUUGGGGACCGUUUAGGGGUAAUUAGAUGUUAGAAUUUAAUCAUAGAUUGUAUACAAAACUUGUGGGGAAUUUUAUGUAGUUGUCUCUGGAGUUAUUGUUAGACACCACUGCUGUAUUAAUUUUAAAGUUAUGGAAUUGUUAAGCAGCGCCGCUGCAGUUUGGUUGGUGUGGGGAGAAUUGUUACCCGCGGUGGGGUUUGAGAUUGCGCGUAGGUGCGGCGUUGUUUUGAGGCUUUUUAUGUGAAUUUGGUGCACUAAGUUGGGUGUCAAAAACAGGUGGUGGACUUCCGGAUCGUUCUUAGGGAUUUGCCCAAACUUCCGGUGAAGGCAAGUAAAACUGUGAUGGUUAUUCCGUAUGUCAGAUGAGGAGUCUUAUUCUUGAUUAUGUUGUGCUAUUGUGUUCAUAUUCAUAUUUUCUUUUGAGUACCAUCAUUUGAAAAUUUUCAUGUUUCAUGGAUUUCAUAUGUUGAGUUUGAGGUUUGAUUAUGUUACUCAAGUGGUUAUUAUGUGGAAUGGGUGGAAGUAAAUGUCUAGCACAUUUUUAUUUGGGAAGAACUCAUGAUGUUGUCAUGCAUAAUGCACUCAUCAUCCAUUGCAUUGAAGUUUCGUCGCGAUCUUAUGGUCCGACCGUACUGGUACAUGGAGCAUCAUAUGUUGCCCGAGAAGGGGUAUGAUGCAGCUUCAUAUCCUUAGAGAUAUGGAGGCAAAAGUCAUUAUUGCAUUUGUAGCCAUGUGCAUUCCUGGGAGAGGUGUGGAAUCUAUUAUGUGGAUGUGGAUAAUUUUGGACUUAUGCAUGGUGAUUCUACUUGGCGUUGAGUUUUUAGUUACUUGUUACUUGCUGCAAUUUACUGUUCAAAAGAACAGAAAGAAGUUCUGAACCACGUGGUUGUGUAAGCACAGUUGAUUUACAAUGUCCUAUUUAUUGUUGUUAUGUUUACUUGCUGAGAUGUGUUAUCUCACAUCUUGCAUUGUUUGAUGCAGGCACCUAAUUUCUGCUUUGGGAAUAGAGGGAUGUAGCAGCACGGCCACAACACCUUUAAUAAAGGAACCACCAUUUAAUAAUGUUGUUAAUCAGACUUGGUCAAGUCUAGUGAAUUGCUUUGUUCUUGGUUGAGCGUUUAUUUUGGGCUGGGCUGAGUUUCUUAUCCCAUUUGUUUCACUUCAGUUGGGGCAUAAAUGAGCUUUACCACUUUGCAUCUAGUUUCUGCUAUGUGAAUUAUAUGUCUUUAUAUUUUGUAUGAACUUCAUGUUUUCCCCUCCUUGUUAUGUUAGUUUCAAAGGAGGUGCUGCCAGAU
rnacentral:lncRNA from 1 species